rnacentral:piRNA from 1 species
AAGGCAAUGAGAACAGGCAGAUGUUUC